rnacentral:rRNA from 1 species
AGUCACUGACAUUAGAUACCCCGGUAGUCCCAGCCGUAAACUAUGCGCGUUAGGUGUACUGGGUGACCACGAGUCACCGGGGUGCCGAAGGGAAACCGUGAAACGUGCCGCCUGGGAAGUACGGUCGCAAGGAUGAAACUUAAAGGAAUUGGCGGGGGAGCACCGCAACGGGAGGAGCGUGCGGUUUAAUUGGAUUCAACACCGUAAAACUCACCAGGGAAGACUGUUACAUGAAGGCCGAGAUGAAGACUCUGCUAGAUUUUCAG